GACGAACGCUGGCGGCGUGCUUAACACAUGCAAGUCGAACGAAGAGCGAUGGAAGCUUGCUUCUAUCAAUCUUAGUGGCGAACGGGUGAGUAACGCGUAAUCAACCUGCCCUUCAGAGGGGGACAACAGUUGGAAACGACUGCUAAUACCGCAUACGAUCUAAUCUCGGCAUCGAGGAUAGAUGAAAGGUGGCCUCUACAUGUAAGCUAUCACUGAAGGAGGGGAUUGCGUCUGAUUAGCUAGUUGGAGGGGUAACGGCCCACCAAGGCGAUGAUCAGUAGCCGGUCUGAGAGGAUGAACGGCCACAUUGGGACUGAGACACGGCCCAGACUCCUACGGGAGGCAGCAGUGGGGAAUCUUCCGCAAUGGACGAAAGUCUGACGGAGCAACGCCGCGUGAGUGAUGACGGCCUUCGGGUUGUAAAGCUCUGUUAAUCGGGACGAAAGGUCUUCUUGCGAAUAGUUAGGAGAAUUGACGGACC
rnacentral:rRNA from 1 species